CAGGAGGCCGCCGUGGCCCAAAUGAGCCGGAGCCCGGGGGUGCAAAGGGGGGCUUGGCGAAGGAUUGGUGGAGUGUGGCAGGCUGGAACUCUGCUGAUCCAGUAGGCGAUUUUGGAGGCUUCCUGGGCCACCCAGAAAGUCAGAGUGAAGAUGAAAUGUACCAUUUACAUCGGAUUUGUCCUGGGGCUGCCACAUUGUCUCUGCAUAUUCACCUGAAGAGGAUACCAUCAACUAAUCACAUCAUUCCAUGUGUCAACGAAUGAAGUCAUGGGACAGUUUUACAAUUCAACAAUUCCACUGGUAGGCAUAAACAAGAACAAAAAUGACAAAAAUAUUUUCAAAUCAUUUUCUUGAGUCGUUUUUCACACUGCAGAAAGUGGUACACUUCAAGUGCUCCAGUUUUUGUGUCACACCUUAUGGGCUAUUUUUCUUGUACGUUUUUUUUUUUAGCAUUUUGGUAGGCUAAAACGAAGCUUACUGGCCCAGGCUUGCAUCUUAAACUGAACACUGCACACUACUCUUUUUUUUAAGCUAGUUUCCAAGAACACUACCUGAACUGCCAACGGAUUUGUAGAACAUCCAGCAUCUAUUCGACCACCGUAAGAGGAGAUUUCACGUCACUUUGUGGCAAGGUGUUUUUCUUUUAUUCACUUUUCCACACAGCCAGUGGCUUCCACAGUUUUAUAAACUUUCCCCUUCAUCCCAGCAGAGACUCUGUGGCAAAUUGUUAGAAACAUUACAGCACCACUUGAAACGUGACAGUGGCAUUGCUUAUAAGGCUUUUGUAUUGGAUGCUGGUGAGUGCGUUAUUAAGCUGUAGAAAAGAGUCGUCAAUUACUUUUGCGGGGGCAGUUUGGUUUAUCGUUUGAUCAAUGAUCUGCCGGCAUUUGGUGGGAAGUCCGUUUCAGUUAUCUGGGAUUUGAAUGGUUCGUCCCCACUCGAUUGAAUCUGUUUCUUGUUACAAUUGUGUUGGGUUGAGGGUCACGUGGGCUAUUAGGAGAAUAAAAAUGAGAGUGAGAUUUGGCAGGGUGUCAAAUUUGUACCACCAUGUGUUGUAUGUGCGUGCGUGUGUGAAGAGUGCGGGCUUUGCUGCUGCUGUUUUCUAUUAGGAUACAAGAUGGCUUAGUUCUGCCGUGUGUAUUCAGAGUGACAUUCAUGUGGACCACGUGUGACGCCCUUCCGCCCAUAAGCCGUCACUGACGUAUGGCGCAUGAACUUGACACUUGAGCUCAAGCACACACAAAAAUGUGGCUUUAAGGGAAAAACAGAAGAGCAGGAGCAAGCGCGUGCAUGUGAGCCGUCACCUUGGAUGCGUUUGUAACGUUUGUACCAGCGUCCAAACUCCUGGCAUUUGGACAUGGAGACGUUGGAAUAAUAGGAACUGUUGACGAUGGCAUAAAUCAUACUCUGUGGGAGAAAGAGAGAGAGAGAGAGAGACACACACAACAUUGGGCAGGGCUGAAUACAAUAUGAAAGCAGGUAGAUUGCGCUCAUGUAAAUUACAGUCCCUAAUUUACUUUAUAUAUGUUUCUUUUUUUUUUUUGCCUGUCUGGGCGUUCCGGCCUCGCCCGCGACACAUCUGACAGUUUGGUAAAAGAAGGUAGUCUGCGCUCGGCAUAAGAACACCAUUUUUGUGUCGGUGCAAUCGUUUAGUCAACGUCUUUGUGAAUUUGGCAGACGCGCUACGCAUCAUUUAGAGUUUCUGGCUCAGCCCCUAUCUGCCAAUUUGGUUUCAAAAAGUAGACUUGAUUGUAGAUUGGCAAAAACCAGGUCUAAAUCAUAGCACAGGUGGUCCAACGCAAUUUUGGUGUACUAUAUUUGAUCAAGGCGCAGGCAGACCGAUACACUACGCCAUAGGUGUCAAACUCCGGUCCUGGAGGGCCGCUGUCCUGCAUGUUUUCAAAGUCUCCCUGUUGCAACAUUCCUGAUUCAAAUGAUCAGAUCAUCAGCAAGCUCUGCGGAAGCCUGACAUUGAACCUGUUCAUUUGAAUCAGGUGUGUUGCAACAGGGAGACUCGGAAAACAUGCAGGGACUGAGUUUGACACCUAUG